rnacentral:tRNA from 2 species
GGAAGAGUGGCAGAGUGGCCGAUUGCGUCUGUCUUGAAAACAGAAGGCGGGGUGACCCGUCCGGGGGUUCGAAUCCCUCCUCUUCCG